rnacentral:rRNA from 1 species
CCAGCAGCUGCGGUAAUUCCAGCUCCAAUAGCGUAUAUUAAAGUUGUUGCAGUUAAAAAGCUCGUAGUUGGACCUUGGACCUGGACAGGCGGUCCGCCUCACGGCGAGUACUGUCUUGCUGGGUCUUUCCUCUUGGUGAUCUGUUGUUUCGGCAGCAGGGAACCAGGACCUUUACUUUGAAAAAAUUAGAGUGUUCAAAGCAGGCUCGACGCCGGAAUAUAUUAGCAUGGAAUAAUAAAAUAGGACGUGCGGUUCUAUUUUGUUGGUUUUUGGAAUCGCCGUAAUGAUUAAUAGGGACAGUCGGGGGCAUUAGUACUCACAUGCUAGAGGUGAAAUUCUUGGAUUUUGUG